rnacentral:lncRNA from 1 species
AUAUCUUAUAGGUAUUCAUAUACAAAGAUCGAUCUGGAGGCUGAAUGUUUGAAUAAAAGUCCAUGUCAUGUCGGGGGAAAGAGGAACAAAUGUGAAUCCCAGGUAAAGCCAUGUUUUCUGAUCUGGGGAAGAUAUCAUUCUGAGUGCAUAAUGACAGAUAUUAGAUGUUUAAGCUUGUCUUUUUUUCCAAUUAUAAAACAAUGAUUUUGCUGCAGGUGCAUGCACAGGCUUGUAGAUGCAGACCAGAGGAUAGCUGCUGAUAAACCAGGUUGCCUGGUGGAGUCUGUACAGUAACUGGCAGCUGCUGCUCCUGCAGGGUGAGUCACCUCUCCUCCUGCUCAGCCAAACCUUUAUUAGCUCUCUGCCCAUUAAACAUGACCUGAGUGCUCAUUUUGCAUGGAGACAUUUAAUUGCAUGCUGCUGAGGCUCUCGUCCUAAUAGGCUAAGUGCCUGCUCCUAUGGUGACUACCUGCACUGUCUAUGAACUGCAAAACUUUCCUCCUUCUGCAACCCCCUGCAACCCCACACAUUCUUUAAUUGUCUUGCAAUUGCAUGUACUAGUCUGAACAUGUGAAGUGUGUGUUAUUUUAAAAACAAAUUACACACGAAACUUGGCAGGAAUAUUCCUGUGAAGGACUGGUGAAUGGGUUUUUCAAAGAGUCAUUAGUGUUUAAUUCAAAUCAAAUGGAAGUCUGAUGAUUGGAGGUCAUUUUCUAUCACUAUGCUGUUUUUCCAGUGCGAGUGUAUUUGAAUAUAGAAUGUUCUGUCCAUCACGGUGAGCUCAGUGUGCUACUACCUCUGUCAAAUGUAUGCUUCAGUUCCCGCUGAGUCAAUUCAUAUUUAAACUUACAGCACUCACGGCAAUGUACAGUACAGUGCUUUAGAUCUGAGUUUCUCCUCCAUGUUCACACAGUGUCAGGUCAGACGGUGCUUCACACCCAGGAGAGAGACUCAAAGGGAACUUUGAAAGCACUAUCACCAUCACAGACUACUUCCUGUCAGACAGUAUAUGUUGUGUAAUGUUCUAAGUAUCUCAAAAGGGACAAAAAUCCAGGUUAUAGCCAGAAAACAUUGAACCAUCUGAUUUUACUCUCUCACUCUGGGACAAAAAACAUAACAUAAAUAAUAAAAACCCACUUCAUUAUUUAUCCACUUUACAUGUAAAUAUCUAACCACUCCAGCAGCAGCUACUUCCCCAACUCAAAAAUCCAGUGUUUGGUGUUGGCAGGUACUCCUAACACCCCUUCUCCUAAUUUUUAUCACAAUUAAAGUAAGAUUUAGAGCAAUGCACAAAACAAGCACACCAAUAUGUACAGUUUUUGGCAGCAUGUAGGUGAAUACACAGUAAAACAAACAAACAAAAAUGAGUGUGUUGAACAGAAAUUGAAUUCUUCAAAAAUUAUGUAGCUGGCAUAAUGUAAUGAUUAAAUCUGUUUUUUUUUCCAGUCUAAUUUAAAAUGAUAUAUCACUGAAUUUUUGCAUUUUAUAGAUUUAAAUGGGUUUCAGCAGGACUUAACUUUGCUACUCCCUGUGUGAUCAGUCUCUUUCUAAUUGUAGCACCCAAGCAAAGCAAAACUUGCACUUAACUUUUAAUAACAUAACUUGAAAUGUUAAAAAUUUCUGCACCUUGUUUCAAAUUAAUCUAAACAGUGAACAAACAUGUAUGCUUAUUUUUUACUCUUGAUUGUGAAUGUUGUGGUCAUUGUCCUGGUGGUCAGCUUCUGCAGGUUUCAGUAUUUUGUAUCUAGAGGCUGUUUUAUCCGUCCACAGUGGGACAUGGAUUUCUCCCCCCUUCUUUGCCUCAGAUUGCUGCAGCAUCUGCGGGUCAGACCUCAGACAUGGUGGCCACUGAUAUUUUCCAUGAGAGAGUACUGGAUACCCUAAAGUAAUUAUUGCAGCAUCCUGAAUUUUUUGUGUUUUUUGUUCUCUUGAUGAUUUCCCUGGGUAUCCCUUUACAAAUGAAGGACAAUGUGUGCAAUCAUUUUGUGUAUUUUUGUUUUCCACCAUCAGCCAAAAUACUGCUAAUAAUCCAUAAAGGAUUGUUUUUUCCGGUGAGGUUAACUAUAAGAGAGCGUGGACAAAUAGGUAGGGUCAGAGCUGGAAGAAAACAGAUCGAGUUUUUUGUUUUGAAGCUGUUUACUGGACGCUUCAUCUUGCAUGGCUUCUUUCCAUGAAUAACAGGCGCAUUAUUUAUUCCCAAAAACUGCCUCAUAUGCUGCAUAAGAUAAACAAGUGUAAAGUACAUGUGGAAAACCUCAUUUUUUUAUGAUGUUCAUGUUACAAAGUUUUAGUUACACUUGCUGACUGCUCUGUGUGAGGUAAAACAAACAAGAGAAAACAUCUCUCCGCACAGCUGCUGAGAUUGAGCAUUUAUUAACUCACUUUCUUUAAAACUGGGCACACAAGCAAGAGUAAAGGGUUGAGAGCUUUGUGAUUCUCUUCUUUCAACGUUAUUCAAGAUUAUUCAUAUAUAUAUUAAUAUUCUUUUUAAGAACUAAUGCAGAAGGUGCUUUGGAAAUAUAUGCACAAAUACCAGAGUUUAUGAAAAACUGAAAUUUAUCAGGAGAAUAAACUCAAAACUUCUGUGAGAAACAUUAACAUUGUGUCUAUGAACAGACAACGUCAAAUAUCUCUGCUGAUUUUUCCCUGUUCAUGUGUAAUUAGUGUUUUAUGACUAAAAAAAGUCCAUUGUUUCUGCAGUUUUUCCUGCAACAUUUCUUCAUCGUUUUGUGUAAGACCCUCAGCAGCAGUUUCAGGGAUCAAGAACAACAUUAUAAAAAUAGCUGAAGUCUGGUUUUCUUCAUGUGGAGGCAUCAGGAUUCAUUUCACUGUUUCCAAAACUCCUCAUAAAAGCUUGACAGAAUUUUAUUAAAAAGGAGUAUUGAGAGACUUCAUUUCAGAAUCUGAUCCGGCAAUAAAACAGUAAAAUACUGUUGCACUUUAUUACAGGAGCAUUAUAGGUAGUCGAGGUGGUUCGAAUUUUAGGUUUACGGUAAAUCCCUACUUAAUACAAUGGGGUUUUUUUGUUUUUUUUUACAGUGUUUUUUAUGUGUUUUUCUUCAUUUGCAGACUCACUAUAGCAGACAAAUAAAUGUAGUGGAUUACUUCUGCAGAAUAAAACUGAAAAAUGCUUUGAUUUUGACCUGACUUAGGGAGAAAUACCCUUUACAAAGAAAAAAGUGUUAUUAGGUAAUCUUAUGUUAUAACAAAGUAAAAAGAGAUGAUCUCCUUACUGUAAAUCUCAGCCCUCUGCAUCCUUCCAGUUAAACUGACUGGUACCCAAAUUCAAUCCGUACUGAAGUUCAGUACUUGAACAUCAGAACUUGUCAUUAUUACAUACAAGGAGAAAGUUAGUUUCAGUGCACACAGAGUGAUAUUAAUCAGUUGUUUUUCUUGAGUUUUGCACUAAAAUAUAACAUAUCGAAUCCACCUGCAGGUUUUGUAUUUAUUUCCAAAUUCCUGCUGUCCCCCAGCACCAGAGUACAGAAGCAGCAGCAGUCUCAUACUUCCUGCCUCCCUAACACAGAGAUGAAUAUCAUUGUGUGAAAAUCAUUGCUCUGAAACUUUAACUACACUCCUCAUCAGGUUUGAGCGUGAGGAGCUGGGAGGGGGCACAGGGCAGCUGAGCUGUGAAUAGACCUCAUCAGUGAGGGUGAGGGUUCACAUCCUUAUAUUAGUUAUACAGGAGUCACCCUCCCCGACCUAAGGGAAAUAAGCCACUUAACGCAAUUAUUUGCAAUCACUAAAUGUGGUAUUCAUUAUAAAAGAUUUUUUUUCUUCUUUGCCACACAUAAUUUUCUAUUGUUUGUGUGAAAAUGGCAACCAAAAGAUCAUUUAAAGUGUUAUUGUGGAGAGCAGGGCAUCUCCUUGUAUAAAGACUGCUUUAAAGUCUGAAUAAACUUUGAAAUUGUGAGAUGAAACUGAGCUUUAUUGUGGUUAGAGAGCCUCAGAGGGAGGAAAUGGCAGGCUUUCGGAGCACAUUGUACCUGGGUUGAUUUGUAAAUAUAAGCUUUUGAAAUGCAGCACAAUGCUCCAUCAUGAAUAUUUAACUGUGAUACAUUCAGGCCUUUGUAAUACUUGACCUGUUUUUAUUAGCCUUAUCAGGAGGUAUUGUGGUCGGAGAUAUGUCUCUCUUGGACUCACACAAUUCAUCUGCUGGUACCUAUAGAUGUGAAAUCAGAGCUCGAAGAGUGUCUGUAAUAAUCUGAUCUCUUCUCAUCCCAAACUUUCCCUCUGGUGUUUAUCUGUACAUCUGUCUUUGUUUGAUUACAGUUUCAGGAGCAGAGGCCCUCACUCUCUUUAGCCUUCUAUCAGUGAAGCGCUAUUUGGUAAUGCAAACCAAAUAUCUAACUAAUUGGCAUUUCUCUCACGUUGCUAUACAUUUUUUCUCUUUUUUUUUUUUUGCUCUGCAUAUUUCUUCCUUGCAGAUAGUAAUGCAAUUAAGCACAACAUUUUUUUUUUUUUUCGCACAGACAAAAUUGCUUAAGUAGAUGUAAUUAGGGAGUGACUGUUUUGAUGAGGAGAACAGAACUUAUGGAAAAUAACCACAAACCACCAACAUGGGACACCACACUGGAGCAGCUAUAGAGAGUGUGCGUCUUUAACAUGUGGUGUGGUGAUUACAAAGGUCAUGCACUUUUAGAUACCAACUUCAAACAGUACAUUACGCCUAUAUAUGGAGGUCAGAGGUCUUGCUGUGGUUGGUUGCUGUGAUUGUUUAGUCUUUCUACAAUGUCAGUGACAGAGCUUAAAUUUAGUUUUCUUCAGCUGAGGCCAACUUGAUUUUAAAACCUAAGGGAUAUCUUUUGGAGCACUUUGGGGUCAAAGUGUUAUAGCUGCAGUAAGUUACAGUGAAGAGAAUGAACUUCCCAAUGAAAAAGUUUGAAAGAGUUCGAUUUCUGACUUGUUUAAAGCUCCCAUGAGGAUUUUUUUUUUUUUUAACAAAUUAUAAAACAAACAGAAUUUAAUCCUAAUGUCUCUAUAUGAACUACAAAAGUAAACCAGAGAUUUAAGAUCCAGUAUUAUCAAUAGAUUAUUUCUGUAUUGUCUGAAACUACAGCCAGGGGGUGGUGCCAGACUGAUUCAGUAACAAAAACAACCAAAACAAACCUUCUAGUUUUUACAGCUCUUUAUCUAAGAUUCUCAUUGCAAGGUUCGUUUGACUGUAUUUGUUCAUUUCAAGGACACAAUCAGCAUAAAGGUGAGACUGCGAUGUUAUUUUAGUGAUGUCAUCUGUUAAUUAUGGUCACCAAAUUGGAAAUACCAACUCAACCAGACUUUGGGUUAAGCUAGCAAGAGACAAAGAGACAAAGUUGUUGUAGGCUAUCCCCUCCUGUCAGUCACUAUCUUGUUGUUCUGCAAAACUUGUUGCCUCAAUAUCUUAAGAACAAAUAAUAAAAGAAUUCACCUUAGUACAGUGUUUAGGAAAAGAAAAAUAAUUGUUUGUUAUGUAUUGUUUUUAUGACGGGCUGUAAUCAUCAUGUUAAACUUUACUGUAAAAAUUGACAUUUUAACUUUGAGGGUUUCAGAGCCAACCUCGGGUGGAGACUACUGUUGUGUUUAAAGCAGGCACUGGGAUUGAUACAAACUGACAGUUUUCACAGGAGCUUUAAAAUUUCUAAUUAUAUUAUGUAUAAUUGAGUUGUUUUUUUUUUUGUUUGUUUGUUUUUUUGAGCAUUAGAAAAUCAAGAUUAUAUUUCCAUCUUGUCAAACCUGAAAAGAGAAAAGGUUCCCUCAAAACUCUUUUAAUGUUAUACCGGGUUUCCUGCUCUUUAAAGCUCCUGUAAGGGGUUUUAUGAAAUUGUAUGAAAUUUAUAUUAUGUCUUUCAAUGGUAUAUAAAAGCAAAUAAGACCAUCAGGACCAAAUCUAACAAUUUUCAUAGUGUAGUCUUCAUUGACUGAAAUUGGUCGAGGGGAUGGGGAAAAAAACUCUCUUUUACAUUUUCCUCAUUAAAUAUUCACAAAAAUUAAUACAUUCACUGUCAUGGGCCCGUAAGAUGACAUUUUGGGUCAGAAGAUGCUACUUAAGCACGUAGAGGACAACGUUAAAAGACAGUUUGGUCCACUGGGGGGUGACAAAAUUGACACAAGUUAAAGUUCCUCACAGGAGCUUUAAGCUGUUGACAAAUCCUAAUUGAAGGACAUCAAAUCUGAUUUUUGAAAAAGAUUCUCAACAUAUUUUGCAGUUUUCUGUUAUUUUCAAGCCAAAAUACUAUUUGACUGGUCAAGAAAAAGGACACUAGAUUAAUACAGAGUUGAUAGAGUAAUUGGUUUUCCAGUCACAGGGAGUAUAAUCAAUCAAUCAAUCAAUCAAUCAAUCUUUAUUUUUAUUAGACCUUUCAUACAAAUCUACUGCAGUUUUAAGUGUUUUACAGUGAUAAAUAGCAGUAUAACACUGACCAAGUCUUGCAUGAGGAUCGUUUGCACAUUUAUCUGUAAUGUAGUCUACCUUUCUGAAAUAGUGUUUCACAUUGUGCAACAGCUCAUUAAGUCUCGCCUCGGUGUUGUGUCUUCAAAAUACAUUGAAAACCUUUCAUUUAGCUUGAAAGCAGUUGAACCAGUCCCUGUUCCCAUUAAAUCCCAUCAUACACUGAGCUAAGAGUUGGAGAACUUGUGGCGGCAUGCGCAUCUGUGUGAAAACUGGUGGCAGCAUGAUGCGUCACAAUCGCCUCUGAUCAGUUACAAUGGAAAUAAAUAAUUCAUGCUGGAGGAAAUGAGUCUAAUUAGCAGGCAGUUUGGGUCCUUUGAUAAAGCUGGGGACUAAUUCUAUGAAGGGCAGGAAGCUCUGUCAUCAGUCAGCCCUGAACAGAUUAGCAUCUAUUAUGAAUGAGGGACGAGCACCCUGGUGAAACCAAGUGUGUCCAAGAGACAAACUUAAUAACUCCUGCGAUGGGACAAACUUCCCCGCACCCUUCACACACCCACCACCACCUCCUCCUCCUCCUCCUCCUCCUCCUCCUAUUCCUCCUCCUCCUCCACAGCAACACACACAUACCCACCCUCUUUUUUCUCCUCUCCCUCAUCAGUCUGCUCUCCUAUCCUGCAGGUUCUAUUGUGUGCAGGUAGAAGAAGCACGCCGCUGCAAUGGAGGAACUCGCCCCUCUGUCCAUCACUCUGACAGCUGUGGAAAUACAUUCGCCAUGCCGCAUUAAGAAGCGUCCACAGUCUUUAACUCCACACUUAAACACAAAGGAAAAUCCAGGGCACCUUCCUCCACGCGCAUUUUCCACUCUCUCCACCACAUUUCCUG